GACGAACGCUGGCGGCGUGCUUAACACAUGCAAGUCGAACGGACAGGCCCUGCUUUUGCGGGGUGCUCGAGUGGCGAACGGGUGAGUAACACGUGAGUAACCUGCCCUUGACUUUGGGAUAACUUCAGGAAACUGGGGCUAAUACCGGAUAGGAGCUCCUGCUGCACGGUGGGGGUUGGAAAGUUUCGGCGGUUGGGGAUGGACUCGCGGCUUAUCCGCUUGUUGGUGGGGUAGUGGCUUACCAAGGCUUUGACGGGUAGCCGGCCUGAGAGGGUGACCGGCCACAUUGGGACUGAGAUACGGCCCAGACGCCUACGGGAGGCAGCAGUGGGGAAUAUUGCACAAUGGGCGGAAGCCUGAUGCAGCAACGCCGCGUGCGGGAUGACGGCCUUCGGGUUGUAAACCGCUGUCGCCGGUGACGAAGCGUGAGUGACGGUAAUGGGUAAAGAAGCACCGGCUAACUACGUG
rnacentral:rRNA from 1 species